GCAGCGACGCCGCGUGGGGGAAUGAAGGUCUUCGGAUUGUAAACCCCUGUCAUGUGGGAGCAAAUUAAAAAGAUAGUACCACAAGAGGAAGAGACGGCUAACUCUGUGCCAGCAGCCGCGGUAAUACAGAGGUCUCAAGCGUUGUUCGGAAUCACUGGGCGUAAAGCGUGCGUAGGCUGUUUCGUAAGUCGUGUGUGAAAGGCGCGGGCUCAACCCGCGGACGGCACAUGAUACUGCGAGACUAGAGUAAUGGAGGGGGAACCGGAAUUCUCGGUGUAGCAGUGAAAUGCGUAGAUAUCGAGAGGAACACUCGUGGCGAAGGCGGGUUCCUGGACAUUAACUGACGCUGAGGCACGAAGGCCAGGGGAGCGAAAGGGAUUAGAUACCCCUGUAGUCCUGGCAGUAAACGGUGCACGCUUGGUGUGCGGGGAAUCGACCCCCUGCGUGCCGGAGCUAACGCGUUAAGCGUGCCGCCUGGGGAGUACGGUCGCAAGAUUAAAACUCAAAGAAAUUGACGGGGACCCGCACAAGCGGUGGAGUAUGUGGCUUAAUUCGAUGCAACGCGAAGAACCUUACCUGGGCUUGACAUGUAAUGAACAACAUGUGAAAGCAUGCGACUCUUCGGAGGCGUUACACGGGUGCUGCAUGGCCGUCGUCAGCUCGUGUCGUGAGAUGUUUGGUUAAGUCCAGCAACGAGCGCAACCCCUGUUGCCAGUUACCAGCACGUGAAGGUGGGGACUCUGGCGAGACUGCCCAGAUCAACUGGGAGGAAGGUGGGGACGACGUCAGGUCAGUAUGGCCCUUAUGCCCAGGGCUGCACACGUACUACAAUGCCCAGUACAGAGGGGGCCGAAGCCGCGAGGCGGAGGAAAUCCUAAAAACUGGGCCCAGUUCGGACUGUAGGCUGCAACCCGCCUACACGAAGCCGGAAUCGCUAGUAAUGGCGCAUCAGCUACGGCGCCGUGAAUACGUUCCCGGGUCUUGUACACACCGCCCGUCACAUCAUGGAAGCCGGUCGCACCCGAAGUAUCUGAAGCCAACCGCAAGGAGGCAGGGUCCUAAGGUGAGACUGGUAACUGGGAUG
rnacentral:rRNA from 1 species